rnacentral:rRNA from 1 species
AGUGGGUUUCACCAGAAGUAGGUAGCCUAACUGCAAGGAGGGCGCUUACCACGGUGGGAUUCAUGACUGGGGUGAAGUCGUAACAAGGUAGCCGUAGGUGAACCUGCAGAAGGAUCA